CUGCCAGUAGUCAUAUGCUUGUCUCAAAGAUUAAGCCAUGCAUGUCUCAGUACAAGCCAAAUUAAGGUGAAACCGCGAAAGGCUCAUUAAAUCAGUUAUGGUUCCUUAGAUCGUACCCACAAUUACUUGGAUAACUGUGGUAAUUCUAGAGCUAAUACAUGCAAACAGAGCUCCGACCGGAGACGGAAGGAGUGCUUUUAUUAGAUCAAAACCAAUCGGUGGCGGGUUCGCUCGUCAUCGUACAACUUGGUGACUCUGAAUAACUUUACGCUGAUCGCACGGUCUCGCACCGGCGACGCAUCUUUCAAAUGUCUGCCUUAUCAACUGUCGAUGGUAGGUUCUGCGCCUACCAUGGUUGUAACGGGUAACGGGGAAUCAGGGUUCGAUUCCGGAGAGGGAGCCUGAGAAACGGCUACCACAUCCAAGGAAGGCAGCAGGCGCGCAAAUUACCCACUCCCGGCACGGGGUGGUAGGGACAAAAAAUAACGAUACGGGACUCAUCCGAGGCCCCGUAAUCGGAAUGAGCUACACUCUAAACCCUUUAACGAGGAUCAAUUGGAGGGCAAGUCUGGUGCCAGCAGCCGCGGUAAUUCCAGCUCCAAUAGCGUAUAUUAAAGU
rnacentral:rRNA from 1 species